AUAAAGCCUUGAAUUUUUGAUUCGGGAAUAGCUUUCAUUGUCCAAAUGACUGCUGGAUAGCCCUGAAUGUUCAUUAUUUUUAUAUAAUAAACAUUUUGCACAUAGGAAAACUCAGUGAGUUUGAUUAUUCUCAGAUGAAGUUUAGACCAGAAAUCACACAGACAGAUGAUAAAGCCAGGGAUCUAAAACGAUCAAUAAACACGAAGAGACCACCAACCAACAAGAAAGGUCUCAGAGCUUAAACCAGAGCCUAGAACACACAGGAAGGUCCCGGAGCUUAAACCAGAGCCUAGAACACACAGGAAGGUCCCGGAGCUUAAACCAGAGCCUAGAACACACAGGAAGGUCCCAGGGCUUAAACCAGAGCCUAGAACACACAGGAAGGUCCCAGAGCUUAAACCAGAGCCUAGAACACACAGAAAGGUCCCGGAGCUUAAACCAGAGCCUAGAACACACAGAAAGGUCUUGGUGCUUAAAUCAGCAACUGCUAUCAAACAAGGAAGCCAAAGUUCCACAGACAGACCGUGUCUCAAAAAGUCAAAACCAAGCCAAAUCAAAACAAUUAUUAACACGCAGGGAAGGUCC
ensembl:lncRNA